rnacentral:rRNA from 1 species
AAAGAAAGAUUAAUACCAGAUAGUAUAAUGAUUCCGCAUGGUUUCAUUAUUAAAGGAUUCCGGUAAAGGAUGGGGAUGCGUUCCAUUAGGUUGUUGGUGAGGUAACGGCUCACCAAGCCUUCGAUGGAUAGGGGUUCUGAGAGGAAGGUCCCCCACAUUGGAACUGAGACACGGUCCAAACUCCUACGGGAGGCAGCAGUGAGGAAUAUUGGUCAAUGGGCGUUAGCCUGAACCAGCCAAGUAGCGUGAAGGAUGAAGGCUCUAUGGGUCGUAAACUUCUUUUAUAUAAGAAUAAAGUGCAGUAUGUAUAC